rnacentral:siRNA from 1 species
UGGAAAGUUCAUCGAAUGCCUA